GACGAACCGAGCGAACGUUAUUCGGAAUCACUGGGCUUAAAGCGUGUGUAGGCGGGCCCGUAAGUACCUUGUGAAAUCCCACGGCUCAACCGUGGAACUGCUCGGUAUACUGCGGGUCUUGAGCCAGCUAGGGGCGACCGGAACAAGUGGUGGAGCGGUGAAAUGCGUAGAUAUCACUUGGAACGCCGAAGGUGAAAACAGGUCGCUGGGGCUGCGCUGACGCUGAGACACGAAAGCCAGGGGAGCGAACGGG
rnacentral:rRNA from 1 species